rnacentral:sRNA from 1 species
ACCUAGCCCCGAUUGCAGUGUAAAUUACCUUUGUCAAAGUUUUGAACUUUGACAAAGGUAAUUGCAACGGAAAGCGGGAACAAGG